UACAGAGGUCUCAAGCGUUUGUUCGGAUUCAUUGGGCGUAAAGGGUGCGUAGGUGGCGCGCUAAGUCAGGUGUGAAAUCUCGGGGCUUAACUCCGAAACUGCAUUUGAUACUGGCGUGCUUGAGGACUGGAGAGGAGACUGGAAUUCAUGGUGUAGCAGUGAAAUGCGUAGAGAUCAUGAGGAAGACCAGUGGCGAAGGCGGGUCUCUGGACAGUUCCUGACACUGAGGCACGAAGGCCAGGGGGAGCAAACGGGG
rnacentral:rRNA from 1 species